GUCGAACGUGGUGGUGCAUGCCUGUAGUCCCAGCUAACUGGGAGGCUGAGGCAGGAGGACCUCUUGAACCCAGGAGUUCUGGGCUGUAGUGUGCUAUGGCAAUCAGGUGUCCGCACUAAGUUGGGCAUCAAUAUGGUGACCUCCCUGGAGCGGAGGACCACCAGAUUGCCUAAGAAGGGGGGAACCGGCCCAGGUCAGAAAUGGAGCAGGUCAAAACUCCCUUUCUGAUCAGUAGUGAGAUCACACCUGUGAAUCGCCACUGCACUCCAGCCUGGGCAACAUAGUGAGACCCCGUCUCUU
ensembl:misc_RNA Metazoa_SRP Metazoan signal recognition particle RNA